rnacentral:pre_miRNA from 5 species
UGUUUAUCUCUAGGGUUGAUCUAUUAGAAUUACUUAUCUGAGCCAAAGUAAUUCAAGUAAUUCAGGUGUAGUGAAAC